rnacentral:tRNA from 1 species
AAUAUGGCCGAUUAGUGCAAUGAACUUAAGCUUCAUUUAUAAAUAUUAUUUUGUUAGAAAUUUCUUCAUGAUUA